AAUUGUAAAUUAAGCCUCUUUCCAUACACCUAAUACUACAAACCAAACCAUUUAUUUAUGAUAGUAUGGGCGACAGAAAACACUUUAGCGCAAUAAUAUAAGUACUGUAAAGGAAUAAUGAAAUAGAAAUUAAAUAAACAUAAAAAUAUAAUGAAGCAAGAAAUAAUGCCCUUACCUUUCGCAUCAUGGUCUAGCAAGUCAAUCCUUACAAAAAGAAUUUGCAAGCUCCCCCGAAACCAAACGAGCUACCUUUAGGCAACACACCUUUCCCUGUAGCAAAAGGGAAGGAAGACCUUAUGGUAGAGGCGAAAAACCUAGCGAGCUUGGAUAUAGCUGGUUGCUUGAGAAAGAAUUUAAGUUCACAUAAAAGCGACUUUACCACGAAGGAAGUUUACUUUUACAUUAAUUAAUUGAGUUACAGCCCACUUAAUAAGGGAAACAACCCACAUAAAUGAAUAAUGAUUUUUAAGAGAUUGAACAAAGUAGGCCUAAAAGCAGCCACCAAAUAAUAGCGUCAAAGCUUCCCUCAUAAUAAUCAACCAUCCCAUUAAAUUAUCCCAAUUCACCCAAAUAAUCAAGCUAAUCUACCCUUAGAUAAACUACUACUAGAAUUAGUAAUAAGAACGAUUCUCUAAAAUACAAACAUACAUCAGAACGAAUUAAUCACUGAUAAUUAAUGAUAAUAUUUAUAUAACAAGAACAUAAUAUCAAAAAACAUUAACCCAACACAGGAGUAUUUAAGAAAGAUUUAAUGGUUGGAAAGGAACUCGGCAAACCUGGGCUUCGCCUGUUUACCAAAAACAUCGCCUUUUGAGAUAUAAACAUAAAAGGUCCUGCCUGCCCAAUGACUUGUUUUAAUGGCCGCGGUAUUAUGACCGUGCAAAGGUAGCGUAAUCAUUUGUCUUCUAAAUAAAGACCAGUAUGAAUGGCAAAACGAAAGCCUCACUGUCUCUCUAACCCAGUCAAUGAAAUUGAUCCCCCCGUGCAGAAGCGGGGAUAAAAAUAUAAGACGAAAAGACCCUGUGGAGCUUUAAACUCGAACUAACAAACCACAAAUGUUUUAGUAUUAAGUUUUAGGUUGGGGCGACCAUGAGGUAUAACACAACCCUCACGAUUCAUAAUCAAGAAAGACAUUUCAAACAACUAACUUAGCAUAUUGACCCAAUAAUUGAUCACGGACUAAGUUACCCCAGGGAUAACAGCGCAAUCCGCUCAAAGAGUCCAUAUCGACGAGCAGGUUUACGACCUCGAUGUUGGAUCAGGACCCCCAAGUAGUGCAACAGCUAUUAAAGGUUCGUUUGUUCAACGAUUAAAGUCCUACGUGAUCUGAGUUCAGACCGGAGUAAUCCAGGUCAGUUUCUAUCUAUAAUCCAACUUUUCUAGUACGAAAGGACCGAAAAAUUAAGGCCAAUAAACAAUUUAAGCCUCAUUAAAAUCUCUGAACACAAAUAAAGAGAUAUGAAAAACUGAUA
rnacentral:rRNA from 1 species